AGUCCGGAUUGGAGUCUGCAACUCGACUCCAUGAAGUCGGAAUCGCUAGUAAUCGUAGAUCAGAAUGCUACGGUGAAUACGUUCCCGGGCCUUGUACACACCGCCCGUCACACCAUGGGAGUGGGUUGCAAAAGAAGUAGGUAGCUUAACCUUCGGGAGGGCGCUUACCACUUUGUGAUUCAUGACUGGGGUGAAGUCGUAACAAGGUAACCGUAGGGGAACCUGCGGUUGGAUCACCUCCUUACCUGAAGAUAC
rnacentral:rRNA from 1 species